rnacentral:rRNA from 1 species
UACGGGGGGGGCAAGCGUUGUUCGGAAUUACUGGGCGUAAAGGGCUCGUAGGCGGCCAACUAAGUCAGACGUGAAAUCCCUCGGCUUAACCGGGGAACUGCGUCUGAUACUGGUUGGCUUGAAUCCGGGAGAGGGAUGUGGAAUUCCAGGUGUAGCGGUGAAAUGCGUAGAUAUCUGGAGGAACACCGGUGGCGAAGGCGGGUCUCUGGGCCGAUACUGACGCUGAGGAGCGAAAGCGUGGGGAGCAAACAGG